UACGAAGGGGGCUAGCGUUGCUCGGAAUCACUGGGCGUAAAGCGCACGUAGGCGGAUCGUUAAGUCAGGGGUGAAAUCCUGGAGCUCAACUCCAGAACUGCCUUUGAUACUGGCGACCUUGAGUUCGGGAGAGGUGAGUGGAACUGCGAGUGUAGAGGUGAAAUUCGUAGAUAUUCGGAAGAACACCAGUGGCGAAGGCGGCUCACUGGACCGGUAUUGACGCUGAGGUGCGAAAGCGUGGGGAGCAAACAGG
rnacentral:rRNA from 1 species